GCCUACGGGAGGCAGCAGUGAGGAAUAUUGGUCAAUGGGCGGGAGCCUGAACCAGCCAAGUCGCGUGAGGGAUGGCGGCCCUAUGGGUUGUAAACCUCUUUUGCCGGGGAGCAAAGUGCCGCACGUGUGCGGUUUGGAGAGUACCCGGAGAAAAAGCAUCGGCUAACUACGUGCCAGCAGCCGCGGUAAUACGUAGGUGGCGAGCGUUAUCCGGAAUGAUUGGGCGUAAAGGGUGCGUAGGCGGCCUGCUAAGUCUGGAGUGAAAGGUACCGGCUCAACCGGUACAGGCUCUGGAAACUGGCGGG
rnacentral:rRNA from 1 species